UCUAAUUUAAAAUUUUGGUUAUAUGUGGUAAAAUUAGAUACAGAAUUUUCAGAAUUGUAAAAAGACCAUGCCUUGAAAUAUUUAAACCAUUUGGAGUCUUAAAAAUAUAAAAAUAUUCAUACUAUAUUUCUGUUUAGUGACUGUAUAUAUCUGAACCUAAGAGUUCUGUCUACUUUGCAUACUCAGAACAUUACUGAGAAUUUGGAAGGAAAUAAGAGACCUCUCAUUAACCAAAACACCUCAUGUACUGGGUGGGAAUGUGAACUGGUGCAACCACUAUGCAAAGCAGUAUGGAGACUCCUCAAAAAGUAAGAUUUACCACAUGAUCCAGGUAUCAUAUGAUCCUGGGUAUUUAUCUAAAAAAUAUGAAAACACUAAUCAGAAAAGAAAUAUGCACCCUUCUGUUCAUCCUAGCAUUAUUCAUGGUAGCCAAGAUAUGGAAGCAACCUAAGUGCCCAUCAAUGAUUAAAGGGAAAAAAAUGUGAUACGCAAACACAUACUGGAAUACUACUCAGCCAUAAAAAAGAAUGAAAUCUUGCCAUAUGUGAUGACACAGAUGGUCCUUGAGGGUAUUACACUUAGUGAAAUAAGUCUGAUGGAGAAAAAUACCAUAUGAUUUCACUCAUAUGUGGAGAAUAAAAAAACUAACUAAAUGAAAAAACCAAACAAAAACAAACACAUAGGUGCAAAGAUACAAAGAACAGAGUAGUGGUUACCAGAUGGGGAGGAGUGGGCAGGAUGAAAUAGGUAUGAUGAUGGAUGGAAACAAAAUUUUUGGUGGUGAGCAUGCUGUAGGGUAUACAGAAGUUGAAAAAUAAUGUACACAUGAAACAUAAAAUAUUAUAAACCAAUGCUACUUCAAUAAAAAAUAAAAAAAAAACAGUUCCAAAUUAUAGGUACAUUAUAAAAGCCCUUUGAGUGAGAAACUAAUUUUUCUUUCUUAUGCAUAAUUCUAACAAUACAGGUGAUAUAGGAUAUAAACUCUGAUGAAGCAAGUCAAUAAGCUCUGAAAUCCAAAUGAAUAUAUUCCAUCUGAAAUGAACAGGUUGUACAAUUAAUUCAAUGUAUAACCAGCAGCACAAGAAUUUUUAUCUUAACGUGGACCCUCAGAAGAUGAGCUGUGCAGAUGAUUCAGAAAACAAAGGCAAGAGGAUGGCCCACGCACACAGCCAUCCAGGGAUGCCCAGGGUCUCACAACCUUACUACAUCCAAGGUGGCAUCCUGAGACAGAGAUGAUCAGAGGGAAAGCUCAGCGAGGUCAGAGCACCCGGGAGACGAGCGGGUCUGGGAGGGAGAAGGAGCUCCUGGGAGUCACGGGCGUGGAGGGAUGGGUGGGUGGUGGGCCAGAGAGCGAGAGCUUGAGGUCAGGAUGAGCUUUAUUUAGGAUGCAGGACUCGAGGAGGAGCCUGCAGAAAGGGACCAGACAUUGGAAAUAAGAGAAAUAGUGGCAACAACGCAGGCAAAGCGUGGGAGGGAGGGUGUGAAAGGCACAAGGAACUGAGUCACUUUCCCGGGCUCCUUCCAAUCCCCUGACCUGGUUGCUUCCAUUUUGAGAGACAUUUACAACCACGCUCCUCAAAGUCGGUCCUCAGACCAGAGGCGUGAGCAUCACCUGGGCGCUGGCUUGCUGACUCUCUCCCCACCCAGACCUACCCAACCACGACCUGCACGUUAACAAGAGUGCAGGUGAUGUUCAGUCAAGUUUGAGACACGCUGACUUAAAGCGGUGGUUAUGAAUGUAGGCAUUGAAGUGAGAUAGAUCUGGGUUCCAAUCCAGUUCUACCUUGACCCCACGAUACGUGCCCUUAGGCCCUAAGCCUCAGUUCUCCUCCUCUGUAGAACAGAGAGAAUGAUAGUAUUAUGUCUCAGGGGCCCUGGGAAAACUUAAGCGAGGUCAUGUAAGGAAAAAGCAUGGCCUUAAGGCUGGCAAACGGUAAUGAUAUUGUUUUUUGUUCAUCCCUUCCAGCCACCUUGGAUAACAGCUCUGUUCUGUCUGCAUCUGAGCCCCUGUAGGGAAUGAGUUCACUAAAGAUGGGGAACACUCAUUCAAUCAUGCGAUCUGUACCCAGGUGUGCAAUAUUGAGAUGAAACCCUCAACACAGCACAUGCUGACAUGAACACAGGGCUGGGACAUGGGCCACUCAAUGACCCACAGCAAACAGGAAAGCGCUUUCUUCAACUCUGUGUACACAAAAGCCAGUUAUAAAUGGGUUAUGAACUUGCUUGGGAUUAAAGGAUCAACUUUCAGAAGAGAAUAAGCAAGUAACGAGGUGAAAUACACCCCUCUUUCAAAACCUCCUGCAUCAGUGCAUGGCCGUGAGAAAGGGGGACAGAGGUCCUUUGGAACCCACAUCCAGCUGCUGUACCCCUCCUCUGGAGGCCAACCACCCCGAGACGCUUCACCCUAGGGAUGAAGUUUAAUGCUCAGAAAAAGCACCUAAAUCAAAUCACACAAGAUGAGUUUCUUCAUUUUCGGCAAAACUCCAAUAAUGAAGUGGCUGAUUUCAUCGCAUGCACCUUAAUUUCCUGUGUUGGCAAAAGAGCAUAUACAGAAACCCCAGCAGGCUUGUAAUAGGAGGACGAGUCUUUCUGCUUGCAUUAUUAGAUACGGGGGGGAAAAAAAAACAGAACUUAGAACACAGAACACCCACUUCUGUUGUGAACAAUAAUGGCAAGAGUAGUUUAUGCAGCUAAGUUCUGAUAUGAAGAAUCCACAGGUCAUUUCAAGGCAUUCAAGCAGCUCACAUCUGCGGAACAGCCACUGAGCAAUGGGUGCUGGGACCCAAGUGCCUCAUUGGGCACCCCCUACAGAGGAAGGGGGCCCCAGAACACAGUGUCAGGGUCCCAUGGGAUAAAGCACAGGCUUAAGUCAAGGUCCCAGAACCCAGGGGCAGAAGCAAGGUCAUUCUGAAGAUGGAUAGGACAGCGGAGGACAUGGGGCAAAAGGGUGAUGCCAUCAUCCAGGAGUAACCAAUCAAUACUGACUACCCCUCUGGAGUUAGAAAGUGACAAAGUGGCUCCUCGCUGUAUAAGCAGGGAAUGAAGGAGGUGGAGCCAGCUCAUAGGCUUUUGGGCAGAAGCCUCACUGUCCAGUUUUUCCCCAUGAAGCACCUAUUUCCGAAGAGAGGAGGACGUCAGAAUUUCAGCCAGAACUGUCAGUGUGCAGAAAGUAAAACAAAGUUCUCCGCCUGACUGCUCCUGCCUUCUGCAAAGUUCUGCUUUCUAAAUGCCGAUGAACUUGAGCAAUCAAGAGAAGUAUUUGUUUAAGCCACGCCUUUCCAGGGGUUGAAAAUGCAAGCACCAGGGUCUGAAGUCUGUCCUCAUUUCUGCUAUGAUGGGACCAGCCUUGGAAUCACUUUCUUUUUCUCCAUAUAACUUGGGAACUAGACUUGGAAUCACUUUCUUUUUCUCCAUAAACUUGGGAUUUCAACAUCUGUGAGUAAAGACCAAAACAUACCCCAUCAUCUCGUAACACCUACACUAAUACACACCCAUGACUCUGAGCCUGGGCUGCCUGGACCAUGGACAAAUAAAUUUUUACUGUGGGUAGAUUUUUAAAAAGCAAAAAGGGGUUUUUUUUGUUGUUGUUGUUUAACAGUAUUUUUCAACCAAUAAAGCACCCUCUCCCAGUUAGUCUAAAUCAAUCAAUCAAUGUCUGUCCGUCUCUCUCCCUCUCAAAGCUUAGGGAGAGCUUCACUGGUUUGGAGGACAAUAUUUCGAGCUCCAAGGUCAUGUGUAGGUCACUGGCUUGGAACACCAGAUGAGCAAGCCAAGCCCUCUCUCCCAGGCUGCAGCUUCAAGAGCAAUGGGUGUGGAGCAACGCACAGCAGGAGCAGAACUGCUGGCCUCCUGGUCCAGAUGAAAUCUUCAGAUGAAGAAUGACUUCAAAAUCUUCCCGUCUCAGCUCUCCCAGUCUUCCAGCUCAUCUACUCGAAUUCUUCCUGCAAAAGGAG